rnacentral:rRNA from 1 species
UACGGGGGGGGCAAGCGUUGUUCGGAAUUACUGGGCGUAAAGGGCUCGUAGGCGGCCAACUAAGUCGGAUGUGAAAUCCCCAGGCUUAACCUGGGAACUGCAUCUGAUACUGGAUGGCUUGAAUCCGGGAGAGGGAUGCAGAAUUCCAGGUGUAGCGGUGAAAUGCGUAGAUAUCUGGAGGAACACCGGUGGCGAAGGCGGCAUCCUGGACCGGCAUUGACGCUGAGGAGCGAAAGCCAGGGGAGCAAACGGG